UCGGGAAUUUUGGGCAAUGGGGGAAACCCUGACCCAGCAACGCCGCGUGAAGGAUGAAGUAUUUCGGUAUGUAAACUUCGAAAGAAUAGGAAGAAUAAAUGACGGUACUAUUUAUAAGGUCCGGCUAACUACGUGCCAGCAGCCGCGGUAAUACGUAGGGACCAAGCGUUGUUCGGAUUUACUGGGCGUAAAGGGCGCGUAGGCGGCAUGACAAGUCACUUGUGAAAUCUCUGGGCAUAACCCAGAACGGCCAAGUGAUAUUGUCGCGCUAGAGUGCAGAAGGGGCAAUCGGAAUUCUUGGUGUAGCGGUGAAAUGCGUAGAUAUCAAGAGAAACACCUGAGGUGAAGACGGGUUGCUGGGCUGACACUGACGCUGAGGCGCGAAAGCCAGGGGAGCAAACGGGAUUAGAUACCCUUGUAGUCCCUGAGCGGGCUGGCAAGGCGCAU
rnacentral:rRNA from 1 species